rnacentral:rRNA from 1 species
CCCUUAGAUGUUCUGGGCCGCACGCGCGCUACACUGAUGCAUUCAACGAGCCUAUCCUUGACCGACAGGUCCGGGUAAUCUUUGAAUCUGCAUCGUGACGGGGAUAGAUUAUUGCAAUUAUUAAUCUUCAACGAGGAAUGCCUAGUAGGCGCAAGUCAUCGGCUUGCGUCGAUUACGUCCCUGCCCUUUGUACACACCGCCCGUCGCUCCCACCGAUUGGGUGUGCUGGUGAAAUGUUCGGAUCGGCCGUUUGUCGCGGUUUCCGCGUCAUGUGGCUGAGAAGUUCAUUAAACCCUCCCACCUAGAGGAAGGAGAAGUCGUAACA